rnacentral:rRNA from 1 species
UACGUAGGGUGCAAGCGUUAGUCGGAAUUACUGGGCGUAAAGCGUGCGCAGGCGGUGAUGUAAGACAGAUGUGAAAUCCCCGGGCUCAACCUGGGAACUGCAUUUGUGACUGCAUCGCUGGAGUGCGGCAGAGGGGGAUGGAAUUCCGCGUGUAGCAGUGAAAUGCGUAGAUAUGCGGAGGAACACCGAUGGCGAAGGCAAUCCCCUGGGCCUGCACUGACGCUCAUGCACGAAAGCGUGGGGAGCAAACAGG